rnacentral:misc_RNA from 1 species
CUGAAUCGCCUCGAUCGGACGUCGAAUGAAACCGGAAUUGCGUCUGAAAGUUACUGCUCACUGUGCGCGCGUUGAUGAGGAAAACUGCUCCAUUUGCGUCACUGCCGGCACUGCUCCGGCCAGCUGGCAGUUCGCCGGUGUCGCCCAUGGUGGGUGGACGCCUCACCGGCUGGCCAUGAUGGCUGCAGGCUCGUUGAUCAAAAGAAAAAGGGAGGGGGAGGGAG